GUAGGUAUAGUUUAACCAAAACAUUAGAUUGUGAUUCUAAAAACAAGGGUUGAAAUCCCUUUACCCACC
rnacentral:tRNA from 1 species